GAGUUUGAUCAUGGCUCAGAGCGAACGCUGGCGGCAGGCCUAACACAUGCAAGUCGAGCGCCGUAGCAAUACGGAGCGGCAGACGGGAGAGUAACACGUGGGAACGUGCCCUUCAGUUCGGAACAACCCAGGGAAACUUGGGCUAAUACCGGAUACGUCCGUAAGGAGAAAGAUUUAUCGCUGAAGGAUCGGCCCGCGUCUGAUUAGCUAGUUGGUGGGGUAAUGGCCCACCAAGGCGACGAUCAGUAGCUGGUCUGAGAGGAUGAUCAGCCUCACUGGGACUGAGACACGGCCCAGACUCCUACGGGAGGCAGCAGUGGGGAAUAUUGGACAAUGGGCGCAAGCCUGAUCCAGCCAUGCCGCGUGGAUGAUGAAGGCCCUAGGGUUGUAAAGUCCUUUCGGGCCCA
rnacentral:rRNA from 1 species